UAUUAUCCUUAUCAAGUAUUAUAUAUUAUACAUAAUUAUAUGUACUCUGGUUUGUUUACACCAGCAUCACCUCAAACAAGUGAGUAAAUGAUUGUGUUAUGGCAUCAUUAGGUGAUUAGGACUUUUUCAGAUCCAUUAUUAUCCUAUGGGACCAUGGUGAUGUAUGUAGUCAGUCAAUGACUGAAACGUGUGACCCAUGACUGUAUUAGUUUGCUAAGGCUGCUGUAACCAAUGUGAGGUGCCAGCCUGGUCAUUCUUUCUCUGAAGGAUCUAGGGGAGAAUUUUUCCUUGUUUCUUCCAGCUUCUUAUGGCUCAGGCUUUCUUGACUCAUGUCAGUGUCACUCCAGUCUCCGCCUCUGUUUUUACACAGUCAUCUCCUCUGUCUCUGUGUCUUCUUGUUUUCCAUGUAAGUCCAGUAUUCCUCUGCCUUUCUCUUAUGAAGGCUUUACCAUUGGAUUUAGGGCCAACCCAGAAAAUCCAGGAUACUCUUUUCUUAAGAUCCUUAAUUUAAUUACCUCUGAAAAGACCCCUUUUCCAAAUAAGGUCACAUUCUCAGAAUCCAGGAGUUAGGAUGUGGCUAUAUCUUUAGGGGUAACACCACUCAACCCACUCUUUGCAGGGCGUUCUCUUUCUUUUAGCAUGUUAUUGUGCCUUCAGUCUUCUCUGAAAGCACUGUAGGCUCUGACUUUGGAUCAAAUUAGGCCUAGCCCCUAGCUAGCUGUGUGACCUUUAAGCAUGUUACUUAACUUCUCUCUGCUUGAGUUGUCUAUCCAAACGGAAGCUGUAGAUAUGCAUUUGACAGGAUUGUUGUAAAGACUAAAUGAUGUGUGGAAUGCAAAGCUAUUUGAGCUCUUCAGUAAAUAUUCGAAGAGAUUGUCUCACUGUGGUUAGCAUCUGGAACAGUAGAGACCAGGAGGACUCCAGCUUUUUUCUACGUUUAGUUGUACAAACAGGCAUUUAGCCAGGUCCCUCUGCCGACAUGUGCCAGUGCUAAAGUACGCCUUGGGGGCUCACUCCAAUCUCAGAACUCUGGCCUUGCUUUGAAAGCCUUGCAGCUGGCUGCCACACAAUUGGAGCUUCACUAUUUUAAGCGUUAGCAGGCAGGUGAUCUGAGCUACUGAGCUACGUUAAUUUCAGAGCCCCCUGACAGGUUUAUCUUCUAACUUUUUUUUUUUUUUAAAUAGAGAUUAGAGUUUACUCAAAGAGUCAAAGGAAGCUGUGUGGGGAGGUAUCUUUGUUUAACAUCUGUCUGUCAUUUAACACCACUUGUACGGCCACAGGGAGAAAGGACAGCAGCUUGAGAGCUCAAUUUAAGCUAUAAGGGUCUAAGCAGUGCUUUUUAAGGAAGGCAGAUAACAGCUUCCUGUCUGGGAGAGAUUACUGGAAGAGAAACUUUGAUUCAACAUUUCUUUACUCUUUUGGUGAGAAUGACCCCCCACUCUACCCCCAAUAAAUUCCAGGGAGGAGUUAUUUGUAGUUAAUCAAGUAAGAUGUUUUCAGUCCUUGGAAGUCUUUUCUUCAAGGUAAAUAUUUAUUCUCUUCAAAAACCAAGGAGUGUUUAAAACCUUUACUUCUUUAAGAAGAAAUGUGUUUUUUUUCCUGAUAAAACACUUUAGUUAAAUAAAAAUUCCCACAUAGGCCCAAUGUAUAAAACAAGAAGAAACUGCUCAUGAUGGAUAUGUAAAUUUGUUUGACUGUAGUAAUUAUUUCACUAUCUCUGUGUACAGCAAAACAUCAUGUUGUACAUACAUCUUAAAUACAAAAAAUAUAUAUUUUUAAAAAAACGAAGCAGCUUCUUUCAUUGAUAGAAAAGAAGUGGUGGUCUAGACUCUGAAUAACAUUGUCCAACAUAGGGAACCUCUGGGGCAGGCAGAAUCUUCUCUUUGGGGAGCAUCACCCUUAGCCCGGGGCAGACUAUCACCUGCCUGAGGAAGGGGAUGUGGACAUUUGGGGCAGCCAGACAAUGCCUAAAUUGUGAUUUGUAUUUCAAGUAUCCUGUAGUAAAGCUUGUUCUGUAAAACCCCAUAAUUACGAAAAGCAGCAAUCAGAUGUCAAUUACACUGACUACCUUAGGAUUCCAAGGUUAAAUGGAGAACAAAAAUAAAGCUAGAUCCAUGGUUGAUACCAGCCUUAGGUGCGGUCCUGGGAGAUUUGACAGGUAUUGGCAAGCGGUUAAGAGAAUCUGGCCAGAAGCUCAAACUGCUGGUUCCAAUCCUAGCUUUAUGGGGACUUGGUGGUCCCCAGACCAGCCAGUAGCAUCAGCAUCACCUGGGGACUUGUUUUGAAUGUACUGAAUCAGAAUCUGCAUUUAACAAGACCCUCAUAUCAUUUGUAUAUACAUUAAACUUUGAGAAACCCUGACCUAGUGAAGCAGAAAGACCCUGCGUGACCCCCAGUAAUUCCUACCUCCUAUUGCUCACCCCUUCCUGUAACCUCCUUCCCUUAAGUGCGAGUAGGACUUGUGACUUGCUUCUAGCAGAAGGCUGAGAAUGGCAAAGGGGAAGAGAUUCUGCAGAUAUAAUUUCCCAAAUUUGUUAGCUUUGAGUUAAAGGGAGAGUAUCUUGUGUGGGCCUGCCUGUGUCAGGUGAACAACACUUGAAAGAGGGACCAGACCUUCCCUGAAGUGAGAGACUCUCCUUUCGGACUUGAUAAAAUAAAUGACCUCUGUGUUGGAAAGGCCCCUAGGACCUGAGGUUGCCCUCUAGCCAAUAAUCAGCAAAAAGCAGGGCCCUUCACCUUAUACUUGCAGAAACACGCUUUCUGCCAACAACCGGAAUGAGCUUAGAAACAGAUUCUUCCCCGCUUGUGCCUCCAGAUGAGAAUGCAGCUCAACUGACAACUGGAUUGCAGUUUUUUGAGACCCUGGGCAAAGAGCCAGUUAAGACACACCUGGACUCCUGACCCACAGAAACUGCAAGUUAAUAAAUGUGUGUUGUUUCAAGCUGUUAAACUUGUGGUAAUUUGUUAAGCAGCAAGAGAAAACCAGUACUUCUAGGGCAAUUUGUUUAUCUACUCUCUGAAUUAGUUUUGUCAAAAUAUAAAAAAGGAUAAAAAUAGUAUAACCAUGGGGUUAUUUUGCAGGUUAAUGAAUAAUAUGUGUAAAGUGCUUAAAACUGUGCGUUGUACUUGGCAAUUGCUCAGUAAAUUGUAGUAUUAUAGCAUUUACCUCAUACGGAAAAUUACAUGGUUUAAUACUUUGCCUUUUGAAAACUGCUUUUUAAUAGAGCUGAAGCAGUGUGGAGUAAAUGAAUGAAGGUCCAGGAGUUAUGUUGCAUCUCAUGUAUAUGAGCUUCCAGGACAUGAGUCUUAAGUGUGUCUAUUGAAUUUGCUUCAGUGAAAAUGUAGUUCUGAAGGCUGGGAAGUCCAAGCAAGGCACCUGAACAUUCUAUGUCGGGCGAGGACCUGCUGCAGCUUCUCACCAUAACCUCACAUGGAAGCAGGUUGGGCUCUCCAAUGAGGAAGAUACACUACUAGUACUAAGAAGCCUCAGUUGACUCUCUAGCAAUGGAGGAGGACACAGCAGACAGAACUCCAAUAGCAGGGUUAGAGCCGCUUUCUCUACACCCAUCAUUGAUUCCACCUAUUGAUGCUUUGAGCCUCCAUGGAGUCUGGCUCACAAAGCACCUGCUGUGAAGAAUGAUGGGGAAAGAAGUCAGAGAAGGUGAUGAUGUCUGGCAGCAAGAGAAUAAAGACAGCAAAUAAACUUGCCUUCAUAGAGUGGACCGGGCCAUUCCAAGACCAUCUUUUUGGAAAAGAAGCCAGACCAGAGGCAGGUUUGAAAAUCACUGAUGUAUGCAGAAGAGCAUAAAUUUUCAAGAACAAGGUCUACGGAGUUGGUCCUGGGUUUGAACCCCGUCUCCGCCACUUGCUUGCUGUGAGAACCUUGAUUAGAAGGAAGAUUUCAAAGAGCAUGCUCAGGAAACACUCCACUGGAUUAGUGUUUGAUUGGAUUUUAGUGUUUAUUGGAUUGCUCUGCAGGAGGGUAAGUACUAUUAUUUACAUGACCUUGUUUUAUCAAACACUGAAAUGCAUCUGACAUGCAUGCCGGUGGGGUGGUUCUGUGUUAAGAGGGACCAGAGAGUGCUGGAGGCCAGGAUGUUUCCAGAAAGAGAAUGGUAAAGAAGGUGAUUCUUCUGCUUUUGCAUUUAUGUCUUUCAAAGUUAUAAUUAGGGAAAUGUACGAUAUAAGCUAUUUAUACAGUGAUAGUGAUUUUAAAAAUUUUUUAUAUGCAGAAGUGUGAUUCAACUGUGGGAUGAGGGAACAGUUAACAUCUGCAUUAUACAAUAUUAUUUGGUAAAUGCCCUGAGAGAGGGAUAGAGGUAUGCAAAGAAUUCCACAUGAAGUUACAGGAAGGGCACAUGGCAAUCAGUGAUGGAUUUCUGGAGAAGCUGAAACCAGAGAGAGUCUCUAAAAAUGGGCAGGGUUUGGGUGAAGAAGAAAGCUCAGGUCAUUGUUAUGCACAAUAGUGAAAAAUGUUGGAUUGUGUAAAAGGGUCUUGCUAGCUUUGAGUCAAUGAUUAAGAUCUUGGGAAUACUAAUCUGCCUUAGCAGGGGAGAAGAGAGAGGCUUUUGUGCCUGAGGCUACGUUUUUGUGAAGGAAGUCAUUUCUCGUAGGCUAUAGGGUUUCUGAAACAGUGAUAAGGUAGGCAGGACCAGACUCAGUUAUCACAGCCCAUCCCUUUUUACUAGUGAGAAUAUUGUAUAAGAGGUAUUAAAUAUACAAUAAUGUACAAUAAAAUGUAAUGUACAAUAAAAUGAAAAAACAACAAAAAAAGAUGGAGUGGGGUAGAUUGAGAACAAGUUCAUAGUAUAAUGAGCCCCCCUUUUAUGUGGUGGUGGUAUUUGUGUGUUAGCAUGUUUGUGAGUGUCUAAUUCUGUGAUCAGAGAACAUUUAAGAUCAAGUCAGCAGAAACAUCUCAGUGAUCUACCUAGGUAUAAAAUUUUUAGGCUCCUCUUGCUUUUACUUGAAAGCCCUGUGGAAAGCUUCUACAGAUCUUUCCUCCACUCUAGUUUCUGAAGAAUAUUUAGGAGAUAAUUUCACUGCUUUUGGUGCUAACAGUCCUAAUCAUAGGUAGAGUUUAAUUUUAAAUGGAACAGUUUUCCUCUUCCCACUGAGUACUGUCAAAAGUAAAAUACAACCACUACAAGAAAAAGUAUUAAUCAGAUCAGUUCAAGGUCAGAACUUCAACGGAAUGCUCUAGAAAUCAAAACAAUGUGCCCCUAAUGUGAUAAUAUGUACUUAUAAACAGAGCUUUCUGGUUGAUGCCAUCAACCACUUUGCAAAAUCUUGCCAGAAAUUUUAUUGCCAUAAAAAUUGGAGAGCUGAU